rfam:Populus trichocarpa isolate Nisqually-1 chromosome 4, whole genome shotgun sequence.
GGAUGCAUUACUGGGCAAUUCUUCUGUUGGCAGUUGGUGACUCAUACUGCACUAGCUGAGAUUAAGCAGCAAGAGUUUGCUCACUGCCAAAGAAGAUUUGCCCCGCAAUUCAUUC